UACGAAGGGGUCUAGCGUUGCUCGGAAUCACUGGGCGUAAAGCGCACGUAGGCGGCUUGCUAAGUCAGGGGUGAAAUCCUGGAGCUCAACUCCAGAACUGCCUUUGAUACUGGCGACCUUGAGUCCGGGAGAGGUGAGUGGAACUGCGAGUGUAGAGGUGAAAUUCGUAGAUAUUCGCAAGAACACCAGUGGCGAAGGCGGCUCACGGGCCCGGUACUGACGCUGAGGUGCGAAAGCGUGGGGAGCAAACAGG
rnacentral:rRNA from 1 species